rnacentral:rRNA from 1 species
CAGUAGCCACGGGAAUACGUAGGGUGCAAGCGUUAAUCGGAAUUACUGGGCGUAAAGCGUGCGCAGGCGGUUAUAUAAGACAGAUGUGAAAUCCCCGGGCUCAACCUGGGAACUGCAUUUGUGACUGUAUAGCUAGAGUACGGCAGAGGGGGAUGGAAUUCCGCGUGUAGCAGUGAAAUGCGUAGAUAUGCGGAGGAACACCGAUGGCGAAGGCAAUCCCCUGGGCCUGUACUGACGCUUAUGCACGAAAGCGUGGGGAGCAAACAGGAUUAGAUACCCCCGUAGUCCCUGUCUCUUAUAC